rnacentral:lncRNA from 10 species
AAGAUAUGGCAUUCAGUGAAACCAGAGGAAACAGAUCUGGCUGUCAUAGGAAUUUAGAUUAGUUUUUUUAAUCCAAAUUGAAAUAAAUUUGAAAUAAAUUCUGGUUUCUUCCUGGCAAUUGGUGAACAUUUUCAGAAAUUCAUCUCAGUAAUAUUUAUGAAUAUGUAUAAAGUACUUAUUAUACUUUACUAUGAAAAAGUAUACUUUUUUUCUUUUUUUUUGGUGGGGGGAGACAGAGUCUCACUCUGUUGCCCAGACUAGAGUGCAGUGGCAGGAUCUCAGCCCACUGCAACCUCCACUUCCCAGGUUCAAGUGAUUCUCGUGCCUGAGCCUGCCAAGUAGCUGAGACUACAGGCAAGUGCCACCACGCUUGGCUAAUUUUUGUAUUGUUAGUAGAGACGGGGUUUCACCAUGUUGGCCAGGCUGGUCUUGAACUCCUGAACCUUGAGUGAUCCACCCG